rnacentral:miRNA from 1 species
ACUGGCACUUUCUAGUCAAAU